rnacentral:tRNA from 1 species
UGGGCUAUGGCCAAGUGGUUAAGGCACCGGACUUUGACUCCGGGAUCGAUAGUUCGAAUCUAUCUAGCCCAGCCA